GCUCCUUAGAUCACAUGACCUGGAUGACUGAACCUACAGACAUAUUGACCUGGUUUCAUGGUCACAUGACAGACUGACUGAAGAUGAUGAUGGAGGAAGAGGAGGACAGAGCAGAAUCUGCAGGGUCCAGCUGUCCGUCUGUGAGGAGUGACGGGUCCAAAGAUCACCCUCCAGCCUUCAGUGGUGAACCUGGAGCAACGAGGUCAGAGAGCUGUGAUGACUCCUUUACAUGUUUGUGUUUCCUGG